GCUAAUUGCAAUUGCAAAGACUGUGCCAUAAAAAUUAUGUUGACAAAGGGGUUUGUCAUAGUAGAAUGGGCGCAUCUUAAACGCGGGGUGCGAGUCCCCAACUACAUAUCGCCUUCACGACGGAUAGUCGAGGCCUACGCCUGCCCGGGAAACUGGUGCGGGCUUGCAACGUUCGUGCCAACUGAGGUCCGUCCUAGGAAU
rnacentral:sRNA from 1 species